GAUGAACGCUGGCGGCGUGCCUAAUACAUGCAAGUCGAGCGAACAGACGAGGAGCUUGCUCCUCUGACGUUAGCGUCGGACGGGUUAGUAACACGUGGAUAACCUACCUAUAAGACUGGGAUAACUUCGGGAAACCGGAGCUAAUACCGGAUAAUAUAUUGAACCGCAUGGUUCAAUACUGAAAGACGGUUUUGCUGUCACUUAUAGAUGGAUCCGCGCCGCAUUAGCUAGUUGGUAAGGUAACGGCUUACCAAGGCAACGAUGCGUAGCCGACCUGAGAGGGUGAUCGGCCACACUGGAACUGAGACACGGUCCAGACUCCUACGGGAGGCAGCAGUAGGGAAUCUUCCGCAAUGGGCGAAAGCCUGACGGAGCAACGCCGCGUGAGUGAUGAAGGUCUUCGGAUCGUAAAACUCUGUUAUUAGGGAAGAACAAAUGUGUAAGUAACUAUGCACGUCUUGACGGUACCUAAUCAGAAAGCCACGGCUAACUACGUG
rnacentral:rRNA from 1 species